UCGGGGUACGCUAUUUAUGGUGGAUCAUCUGUAUAUAGUUCCUCAGAUAGAAUUUUCUUGAUAGUCAAAUACUAUCAACAAGACCACAAAGCAUCAAAAAAAAAAUCCGAUGACUGGGUUUGUUCGUUUAGAUGAGGUUCUUAAGUUGUGAAAAAGUUUUGUAUCACAAGAGGAUAACAAAUCAUCUUUAUCAAAUUUUCAAAUUUGGGAAGCGUAA
rnacentral:lncRNA from 1 species